CUUUCAUAUGCAGAAGCAAAAGCAAAGUAAAGGGGGAAAAGGGGGAGAGGAUUGCAUAUCAUAAAGACAGAGAGAAGAUCCGUGGAGGAGAGGAAGGAGAUUGACUGGGAGGGAGGAGGGACAGGAAAGGGAGGAAAUGCUAAAUGAAUUUGACCAAAUUCUACUAUGUGCAUGUAUAAAUAUACCACAGUGAAUUCCACCUUUAUGUACCUCUAUAAAGCACCGAUUAAAAAUAAGUAGAUAAAUAAACAGAAGGAAGACCAGUAAAGUAGAGGAAGGGGAGUGGAGGAAGGGAGGAAGAGAGGGAAAGAGGAGGCACCGGGAACUGAAAUGGAGCACAUGAAAUUCCAUACCUGUUCGGUUAUGUCAAAAUGAACCCAAUCCCUUAUCCAUAACUAGAAGGCACUAAUAAAAGCAAUUAAAUUAAGGAAAAAUAGGUGGGGAAAAUCAUGAAUGAGAUCCCUUUUUUAGGGGGGCUGGGGUUGUGGCUGGAGGCACUGGAUAAGAUUCUCAGCACCACAUAAAAAUACAAAUAAAUUAAAUAAAGAUUUUUUUUUAAAAAAAGAGAUCCCUUUUAAAAAAUGCCCACAUAAUUUGACAAUGAAUAGCCACUGAGGACAUGUGCUGUGUACCAGGUGGUGUUCUAGGCAUUGGGAGCAGAACAGGUGACCUGCCAUCGUGCCGUUCUGGUGGGCAGACAGGAAAUGAGCAGGUUCAGGCAAGGCUGUCUUCUGAAGGAAGUAAAUGAGGGGGUGGGUGAGCAGUGUGAGCAGUUGGGUGUUGGGGAAUGGUCUUCAAAUAGGCAGGAAGAUGUCACUAAUCCCAUUCCUUCAGAUGAGGAAACUGAGGGGAGUUAUUGGUUGCCAACAGAAAUUAAAAAACAAAAACAAAAUAUGAAAAAAAAAUGCUGAAAAGGCAGAGUUUCAGGAAAGAUAUGAAAGAUCAGAUCACCAAGCCCCUGGGUACCUGCUUAAUAUUUACCCUGGUGAGGUUAAUGGCUUGUGAGAAAACAGGCCAAUAAUCGAGGUGGCUAGAAGUCCACCCUCUCCCCUCCCACAAUUCAAACAUUUGCCAAAAAAAGAAACAAAACAUUUCCCAAGGUUGGGAUUCAAAACAAGUGGGUGAGUUCCUGGCCCUACCACUGAAUAGCUGUAUGGCUUUGAUCAAAUCCAUGCUUUACUUUCUUUGUCUUAAAAAAGGCAAUUUUAAGGGCUGUGGGUUAGGAUUCCUUGAGCCUCCACCACGUGCCAGGCUUUCUACUGGCUGCUAAGAAUAACACAUAAGAAGUAUCGUGUCUGUCCCAAACGAGCCAUUGCAUGUCCAAUUAGUAUUCCC
rnacentral:lncRNA from 1 species